rnacentral:misc_RNA from 1 species
GAUGAAGAACGUAGCGAAAUGAGAUAAGUAGUGUGAAUUGCAGAAUUCAGUGAAUCAUCGAAUCUUUGAACGCACAUUGCGCCCCUUGGUAUUCCAUGGGGCAUGCCUGUUCGAGCGUCAUUUGUACCUUCAAGCUUUGCUUGGUGUUGGGUGUUUGUCUCGCCUUUGCGUGUAGACUCGCCUUAAAAUAAUUGGCAGCCGGCGUAUUGAUUUCGGAGCGCAGUACAUCUCGCGCUUUGCACUCAUAACGACAGCGUCCAAAAGUACAUUUUACACUCUUGACCUCGGAUCAGGGAGGGAUACCCGCUGAACUUAAGCAUAUCAAUAAGCGGAGGA